rnacentral:rRNA from 1 species
GUAGGUGGCAAGUGUUGUCCGGAAUUAUUGGGCGUAAAGCGCGCGCAGGCGGGUUCUUUAAGUCUGAUGUGAAAGCCCACGGGCUCAACCGUGGAGGGUCAUUGGAAACUGGAGAACUUGAGUACAGAAGAGGAAAGCGGAAUUCCACGUGUAGCGGUGAAAUGCGUAGAGAUGUGGAGGAACACCAGUGGCGAAGGCGGCUUUCUGGUCUGUAACUGACGCUGAGGCGCGAAAGCGUGGGGAGCAAACAGGAUUAGAUACCCUGGUAGUCCACGCCGUAAACGAUGAGUGCUAAGUGUUAGGGGGUUUCCGCCCCUUAGUGCUGCAGCUAACGCAUUAAGCACUCCGCCUGGGGAGUACGGCCGCAAGGCUG